GGGGGGGCAAAACUGCAAGUCGAGCGAGCUUGCCUAGAUGAUUUUAGUGCUUGCACUAAAUGAAACUAGAUACAAGCGAGCGGCGGACGGGUGAGUAACACGUGGGUAACCUGCCCAAGAGACUGGGAUAACACCUGGAAACAGAUGCUAAUACCGGAUAACAACACUAGACGCAUGUCUAGAGUUUGAAAGAUGGUUCUGCUAUCACUCUUGGAUGGACCUGCGGUGCAUUAGCUAGUUGGUAAGGUAACGGCUUACCAAGGCAAUGAUGCAUAGCCGAGUUGAGAGACUGAUCGGCCACAUUGGGACUGAGACACGGCCCAAACUCCUACGGGAGGCAGCAGUAGGGAAUCUUCCACAAUGGACGAAAGUCUGAUGGAGCAACGCCGCGUGAGUGAAGAAGGGUUUCGGCUCGUAAAGCUCUGUUGGUAGUGAAGAAAGAUAGAGGUAGUAACUGGCCUUUAUUUGACGGUAAUUACUUAGAAAGUCACGGCUAACUACGUGCCAGCAGCCGCGGUAAUACGUAGGUGGCAAGCGUUGUCCGGAUUUAUUGGGCGUAAAGCGAGUGCAGGCGGUUCAAUAAGUCUGAUGUGAAAGCCUUCGGCUCAACCGGAGAAUUGCAUCAGAAACUGUUGAACUUGAGUGCAGAAGAGGAGAGUGGAACUCCAUGUGUAGCGGUGGAAUGCGUAGAUAUAUGGAAGAACACCAGUGGCGAAGGCGGCUCUCUGGUCUGCAACUGACGCUGAGGCUCGAAAGCAUGGGUAGCGAACAGGAUUAGAUACCCUGGUAGUCCAUGCCGUAAACGAUGAGUGCUAAGUGUUGGGAGGUUUCCGCCUCUCAGUGCUGCAGCUAACGCAUUAAGCACUCCGCCUGGGGAGUACGACCGCAAGGUUUGAACUC
rnacentral:rRNA from 1 species